rnacentral:tRNA from 1 species
GCCCGGGUGGCGGAAUUGGCAGACGCGCGGGACUCAAAAUCCCGUUCUGGCGACAGAGUGUGGGUUCAACCCCCACCCCGGGCACUA